ACUCAAAGGAAUAGACGGGGGCCCGCACAAGCGGCGGAGCAUGCGGAUUAAUUCGAUGCAACGCGAAGAACCUUACCUAGGUUUGACAUAUACGAGAACCCUUUAGAGAUAAAGGGCUCUUUGGACACUCGUAUACAGGUGGUGCAUGGCUGUCGUCAGCUCGUGUCGUGAGAUGUUGGGUUAAGUCCCGCAACGAGCGCAACCCUCGUCUUAUGUUGCCAGCGGGUAAUGCCGGGGACUCAUAAGAGACUGCCGGGGUCAACUCGGAGGAAGGUGGGGAUGACGUCAAGUCAUCAUGCCCCUUAAGUCUAGGGCUUCACGCAUGCUACAAUGGCCGGUACAAAGGGCUGCGAAACCGCAAGGUGGAGCGAAUCCCAAAAAGCCGGUCUCAGUUCGGAUUGGGGUCUGCAACUCGACCCCAUGAAGUCGGAGUCGCUAGUAAUCGCAGAUCAGCAACGCUGCGGUGAAUACGUUCCCGGGCCUUGUACACACCGCCCGU
rnacentral:rRNA from 1 species